rnacentral:lncRNA from 1 species
UUACAUUUGAAAAUAUGCUUAAAAGCACUGAAAAGUGCAUUUCCUAGUCCCAAUUUUCUUGAAACUGGCUUGUGACAAAUUUCAAAGCCUAACAUGUUCAGGUCAUGGCACUUGUAAAAGUUGAAUCAACUGGUGCAGAAUUCUUUUGAAAAGAGGCCUUCCUUAUCCUAGUGCUCCUUUUUUGAUGCUUUAAUAAUUGCCAAACUGAUUUACACAUCAUUUUUUUUUUCAAGUUAAAAAUGCAUUUUUUCAACAAAUGGAGCAGCUACUCAAACAAGCAUGUACCGAAAACCACCUCAACUCAAAAGAAGACAAGCUAUGGAUCCGAGUCGUGAAUCUAAUCGAUGAGGUUAUUGUCAUGAAAGGUUCUGGAAGUAAUGUUGUCAAUGCAUCAUUACUUAUACAUUAUUCAUCGUCAUCAACAAUGAGAAUGUUUCGCUACUAUGCAAUGAGUUCUUGAUAUCAAUGUGCGAUUUUGUGAAGUAUCUUCUCGACAUAACUCCUGAGUUUUAUGAAACCUCUCUGAAGUUGGAUUCUUUAUUUUGCAAACUACCUGUAUGUCCUCAUUUAUUCAUGAUCCUGGAGUACAUUAUUUUCGGAAAGUUAAUUUGCUCCACAGUGAAAAAAGUAGUGCCAAUCUAGAUCCAGAUGCAGAUUAUUCUAGUAUCCAGAAAAUUGACACCAAAAGCAUCCUUAAUACCACAGCCAUUUGGAACAGGGCAGUGAAUGUAAUGGAAGAGAAAGUAUUCACAAAAUCAGUCAUAAUGGUGAUUCAUUCCCGCCCAAUUCUCAUCUGAGUCUUGAUGAUAGGAAAGCUAUUCGCCUUCUCUAUUUCUUCUGCAAGACCAUUAGUA